rnacentral:lncRNA from 1 species
CCUCAAUCAGUUCAGGGGAAUUUAUAGUUGCAUUUCUUGUUAGGAAAUAUACUUGCCACCUUUGAAAUCCACCAGUGGACUGUUUUCGUACCUACAGGCUUCUGUUUCAGGAAAAAAGAAACUGUCUCCUGAUGCAGCUGGAAGAAGCCACCCGCCUCACGUCCUACCUCCAGUCCUAGUUACAAAGGUGGCCAAGGCAAGUGCGAGAGUGAAUAAUCACCUACAGGCAAAGCUGACCAAGAAAACUUCUCAGAAACCACCCACCACGAGGAACCUUAGAAAAAUCGGAGGCUCAAAGCUCUGUAGCCAGGGUUCCAAGGU